rnacentral:rRNA from 1 species
GGCUACCGCUAUUGGAGUUCGAUUAAGCCAUGCGAGUCGAGAGUCCUCGGGACUCGGCGUACCGCUCAGUAACACGUGGGUAACCUGCCCUAUGCUGGGGAAUAACCUCGGGAAACUGAGAACAAUGCCCCAUAGCCCGCUACGCCUGGAACGGUGAGUGGGUCAAAGCUCCGGCGGCAUAGGAUGGGCCUGCGCCGUAUCAGGUUGUAGGGGGUGUAAAGUACCCUCUAGCCAUCAACGCGUACGGGUGUUGGGAGACAUUGCCCGGAGAUGGAUUCUGAGACACGAAUCCAGACCCUACGGGGUGCAGCAGGCGCGAAAACUUGGCAAUGCGAGAAAUCGUGACCAGGGAACUCCAAGUGCGUAGGGUAAGACCUACGCUUUUCUUGACUCUUCAAAGGUCUUGGAAUAAGGGGUGGGUAAGGACGGUGCCAGCCGCCGCGGUAAUACCGGCGCCUCAAGUGGUAGUCGCUUUUAUUGGGCCUAAAACGUCCGUAGCCGGUCUGGUGCAUUCGUGGGUAAAUCAACCCGCUCAACGGGUUGAAUUCUGCGAGCACGGCCAGACUUGGGACCGGGAGAGGUGUGGGGUACUCUCAGGGUAGGGGUAAAAUCCUGUCAUCCUGAGAGGACCACCUGUUGCGAAGGCGCCACACUAGAACGGAUCCGACGGUCAGGGACGAAACCUAGGGGCACGAACCGGAUUAGAUACCCGGGUAGUCCUAGGUGUAAACGCUGUGGACUUGAUGUUGGGGGCGCUCCGAGCGCUCUCAGUGUCGAAGCGAAGGUGAUAAGUCCACUGCCUGGGGAGUACGGUCGCAAGGCUGAAACUUAAAGGAAUUGGCGGGGGAGCACUGCAACCUGAGGAUUGUGCGGUUU